GUGCUCUCUUCAGCAGCACAUAUACUAAAAUUAGAAUGAGACAGAGACAGCAUGGCCCCUGGGCAAGGAUGACACACAAAACAAAAAUUAAUUAAAAACAUAA
ensembl:snRNA U6 U6 spliceosomal RNA